GCAAACCAACCAACGUGGGCGAGGAGAAGGCCAGGGAGGUGGCCCAGCAGACUGAGGACCCAGCUCUCCUCUCCUCACAAAGGCACCCUUGCUCCCUAAUGACAGUAAUUCUUGUGGUUGCUGGAGACCAGGAAGAGCAGGCCUAGGAAGACAGGGUCUCCAGGAUUUUAGAGACCUUUGAUCGGCUGGUCCCAGUCUUCUGCAGGUCUGGGAGGGGAG